ACGCUGGCGGCGUGCUUAACACAUGCAAGUCGAACGGAAAGGCCCUGCUUUUGUGGGGUGCUCGAGUGGCGAACGGGUGAGUAACACGUGAGUAACCUGCCCUUGACUUUGGGAUAACUUCAGGAAACUGGGGCUAAUACCGGAUAGGAGCUCCUGCUGCAUGGUGGGGGUUGGAAAGUUUCGGCGGUUGGGGAUGGACUCGCGGCUUAUCAGCUUGUUGGUGGGGUAGUGGCUUACCAAGGCUUUGACGGGUAGCCGGCCUGAGAGGGUGACCGGCCACAUUGGGACUGAGAUACGGCCCAGACUCCUACGGGAGGCAGCAGUGGGGAAUAUUGCACAAUGGGCGGAAGCCUGAUGCAGCAACGCCGCGUGCGGGAUGACGGCCUUCGGGUUGUAAACCGCUUUCGCCUGUGACGAAGCGUGAGUGACGGUAAUGGGUAAAGAAGCACCGGCUAACUACGUGCCAGCAGCCGCGGUGAUACGUAGGGUGCGAGCGUUGUCCGGAUUUAUUGGGCGUAAAGGGCUCGUAGGUGGUUGAUCGCGUCGGAGGUGUAAUCUUGGGGCUUAACCCUGAGCGUGCUUUCGAUACGGGUUGACUUGAGGAAGGUAGGGGAGAAUGGAAUUCCUGGUGGAGCGGUGGAAUGCGCAGAUAUCAGGAGGAACACCAGUGGCGAAGGCGGUUCUCUGGGCCUUUCCUGACGCUGAGGAGCGAAAGCGUGGGGAGCGAACAGGCUUAGAUACCCUGGUAGUCCACGCUGUAAACGGUGGGUACUAGGUGUGGGGUCCAUUCCACGGGUUCCGUGCCGUAGCUAACGCUUUAAGUACCCCGCCUGGGGAGUACGGCCGCAAGGCUAAAACUCAAAGGAAUUGACGGGGCCCCGCACAAGCGGCGGAGCAUGCGGAUUAAUUCGAUGCAACGCGUAGAACCUUACCUGGGUUUGACAUGGAUCGGGAGUGCUCAGAGAUGGGUGUGCCUCUUUUGGGGUCGGUUCACAGGUGGUGCAUGCCUGUCGUCAGCUCGUGUCGUGAGAUGUUGGGUUAAGUCCCGCAACGAGCGCAACCCUUGUUCACUGUUGCCAGCACGUUAUGGUGGGGACUCAGUGGAGACCGCCGGGGUCAACUCGGAGGAAGGUGGGGAUGACGUCAAGUCCUCAUGCCCCUUAUGUCCAGGGCUUCACGCAUGCUACAAUGGCUGGUACAGAGAGUGGCGAGCCUGUGAGGGUGAGCGAAUCUCGGAAAGCCGGUCUCAGUUCGGAUUGGGGUCUGCAACUCGACCUCAUGAAGUCGGAGUCGCUAGUAAUCGCAGAUCAGCAACGCUGCGGUGAAUACGUUCCCGGG
rnacentral:rRNA from 1 species